AGUGAACGCUGGCGGUAGGCCUAACACAUGCAAGUCGAACGGCAGCACAGUAAGAGCUUGCUCUUACGGGUGGCGAGUGGCGGACGGGUGAGGAAUACAUCGGAAUCUACUUUUUCGUGGGGGAUAACGUAGGGAAACUUACGCUAAUACCGCAUACGACCUACGGGUGAAAGCAGGGGAUCUUCGGACCUUGCGCGAUUGAAUGAGCCGAUGUCGGAUUAGCUAGUUGGCGGGGUAAAGGCCCACCAAGGCGACGAUCCGUAGCUGGUCUGAGAGGAUGAUCAGCCACACUGGAAAUGAGACACGGUCCAGACUCCUACGGGAGGCAGCAGUGGGGAAUAUUGGACAAUGGGCGCAAGCCUGAUCAAGCCAUACCGCGUGGGUGAAGAAGGCCUUCGGGUUGUAAAGCCCUUUUGUUGGGAAAGAAAAGCAGCAGGUUAAUACCCCGCUGUUCUGACGGUACCAAAAGAAUAAGCACCGGCUAACUUCGU
rnacentral:rRNA from 1 species